UACGUAGGGUGCAAGCGUUGUCCGGAAUUAUUGGGCGUAAAGAGCUCGUAGGCGGUCUGUCGCGUCUGCUGUGAAAACUCGGGGCUUGACCCCGGGCCUGCAGUGGGUACGGGCAGACUAGAGUGCGGUAGGGGAGACUGGAAUUCCUGGUGUAGCGGUGAAAUGCGCAGAUAUCAGGAGGAACACCGGUGGCGAAGGCGGGUCUCUGGGCCGUAACUGACGCUGAGGAGCGAAAGCGUGGGGAGCGAACAGG
rnacentral:rRNA from 1 species